AACGAACGCUGGCGGCAGGCUUAACACAUGCAAGUCGAACGCCCCGCAAGGGGAGUGGCAGACGGGUGAGUAACGCGUGGGAACGUACCCUUUACUACGGAAUAACUCAGGGAAACUUGUGCUAAUACCGUAUGUGCCCUUCGGGGGAAAGAUUUAUCGGUAAAGGAUCGGCCCGCGUUGGAUUAGCUAGUUGGUGGGGUAAAGGCCUACCAAGGCGACGAUCCAUAGCUGGUCUGAGAGGAUGAUCAGCCACAUUGGGACUGAGACACGGCCCAAACGCCUACGGGAGGCAGCAGUGGGGAAUAUUGGACAAUGGGCGCAAGCCUGAUCCAGCCAUGCCGCGUGAGUGAUGAAGGCCCUAGGGUUGUAAAGCUCUUUCACCGGUGAAGAUAAUGACGGUAACCGGAGAAGAAGCCCCGGCUAACUUCGUGCCAGCAGCCGCGGUAACAC
rnacentral:rRNA from 1 species